AAAGCAUGAUGAGGACAUUUCUUAAGUAUUUCCUUAAAUCUCUCUUAACUCUCAUAAAUAGAUUAUCCUUCACAAUGAGUAAAAGAAGUGAUAUCAAUUCUAAGUUU